rnacentral:misc_RNA from 1 species
GAUGAAGAACGUAGCGAAAUGCGAUAAGUAAUGUGAAUUGCAGAAUUCAGUGAAUCAUCGAAUCUUUGAACGCACAUUGCGCCCCCUGGUAUUCCGGGGGGCAUGCCUGUCCGAGCGUCAUUACAACCCUCAAGCUCAGCUUGGUAUUGGGCCCCGCCGCUCCGGCGGGCCCUAAAGUCAGUGGCGGUGCCGUCCGGCUCCGAGCGUAGUAAUUCUUCUCGCUCUGGAGGUCCGGUCGUGUGCUCGCCAGCGACCCCCAAUUUUUUUCAGGUUGACCUCGGAUCAGGUAGGGAUACCCGCUGAACUUAAGCAUAUCAAUAAGCGGAGGA